rnacentral:rRNA from 1 species
UACGAAGGGGGCUAGCGUUGCUCGGAAUGACUGGGCGUAAAGGGCUCGUAGGCGGUUUGUCGCGUCGGGAGUGAAAACGCCGUGCUUAACACGGCGCUUGCUUUCGAUACGGGCAGACUAGAGGUAUGCAGGGGAGAACGGAAUUCCUGGUGUAGCGGUGAAAUGCGCAGAUAUCAGGAGGAACACCGGUGGCGAAGGCGGUUCUCUGGGCAUUACCUGACGCUGAGGAGCGAAAGUGUGGGGAGCGAACAGG